rnacentral:rRNA from 1 species
UAGGGAAUCUUCCACAAUGGGCGAAAGCCUGAUGGAGCAACGCCGCGUGUGUGAUGAAGGCUUUAGGGUCGUAAAGCACUGUUGUAUGGGAAGAAAUGCUAGAAUAGGGAAUGAUUCUAGUUCGACGGUACCAUACCAGAAAGGGACGGCUAAAUACGUGCCAGCAGCCGCGGUAAUACGUAUGUCCCGAGCGUUAUCCGGAUUUAUUGGGCGUAAAGCGAGCGCAGACGGUUGAUUAAGUCUGAUGUGAAAGCCCGGAGCUCAACUCCGGAAUGGCAUUGGAAACUGGUUAACUUGAGUGUUGUAGAGGUAAGUGGAACUCCAUGUGUAGCGGUGGAAUGCGUAGAUAUAUGGAAGAACACCAGUGGCGAAGGCGGCUUACUGGACAACAACUGACGUUGAGGCUCGAAAGUGUGGGUAGCAAACAGGAUUAGAUACCCUGGUAGUCCACACCGUAAACGAUGAAUACUAGGUGUUAGGAGGUUUCCGCCUCUUAGUGCCGAAGCUAAUGCAUUAAGUAUUCCGCCUGGGGAGUACGACCGCAAGGUUG